rnacentral:rRNA from 1 species
CAGUCGCCGCGGUAAUACGAGGGGGGCAGGCGUUGUUCGGAAUUAUUGGGCGUAAAGGGCGCGUAGGCGGUUUGGCAAGUUUGGUGUGAAAUCUUCGGGCUCAACUCGAAGUCUGCAUCGAAAACUGCCGGGCUUGAGUAUGGGAGAGGUGAGUGGAAUUUCCGGUGUAGCGGUGAUAUGCGUAGAUAUCGGAAGGAACACCUGUGGCGAAAGCGGCUCACUGGACCAUAACUGACGCUGAGGCGCGAAAGCUAGGGGAGCAAACAGGAUUAGAUACCCCCGUAGUCCCUGUCUCUUAUAC